UGCAGUCGAGCGGAACGAGUUAUCUGAACCUUCGGGGAACGAUAACGGCGUCGAGCGGCGGACGGGUGAGUAAUGCCUAGGAAAUUGCCCUGAUGUGGGGGAUAACCAUUGGAAACGAUGGCUAAUACCGCAUGAUGCCUACGGGCCAAAGAGGGGGACCUUCGGGCCUCUCGCGUCAGGAUAUGCCUAGGUGGGAUUAGCUAGUUGGUGAGGUAAGGGCUCACCAAGGCGACGAUCCCUAGCUGGUCUGAGAGGAUGAUCAGCCACACUGGAACUGAGACACGGUCCAGACUCCUACGGGAGGCAGCAGUGGGGAAUAUUGCACAAUGGGCGCAAGCCUGAUGCAGCCAUGCCGCGUGUGUGAAGAAGGCCUUCGGGUUGUAAAGCACUUUCAGUCGUGAGGAAGGUGGUGUAGUUAAUAGCUGCAUUAUUUGACGUUAGCGACAGAAGAAGCACCGGCUAACUCCGUGCCAGCAGCCGCGGUAAUACGGAGGGUGCGAGCGUUAAUCGGAAUUACUGGGCGUAAAGCGCAUGCAGGUGGUUUGUUAAGUCAGAUGUGAAAGCCCGGGGCUCAACCUCGGAAUAGCAUUUGAAACUGGCAGACUAGAGUACUGUAGAGGGGGGUAGAAUUUCAGGUGUAGCGGUGAAAUGCGUAGAGAUCUGAAGGAAUACCGGUGGCGAAGGCGGCCCCCUGGACAGAUACUGACACUCAGAUGCGAAAGCGUGGGGAGCAAACAGGAUUAGAUACCCUGGUAGUCCACGCCGUAAACGAUGUCUACUUGGAGGUUGUGGCCUUGAGCCGUGGCUUUCGGAGCUAACGCGUUAAGUAGACCGCCUGGGGAGUACGGUCGCAAGAUUAAAACUCAAAUGAAUUGACGGGGGCCCGCACAAGCGGUGGAGCAUGUGGUUUAAUUCGAUGCAACGCGAAGAACCUUACCUACUCUUGACAUCCAGAGAACUUUCCAGAGAUGGAUUGGUGCCUUCGGGAACUCUGAGACAGGUGCUGCAUGGCUGUCGUCAGCUCGUGUUGUGAAAUGUUGGGUUAAGUCCCGCAACGAGCGCAACCCUUAUCCUUGUUUGCCAGCGAGUAAUGUCGGGAACUCCAGGG
rnacentral:rRNA from 1 species